rnacentral:rRNA from 1 species
GACGAACGCUGGCGGCGUGCCUAAUACAUGCCAGUUGAGCGCUGAAGGUUGGUACUUGUACCAACUGGAUGAGCAGCGAACGGGUGAGUAACGCGUGGGGAAUCUGCCUUUGAGCGGGGGACAACAUUUGGAAACGAAUGCUAAUACCGCAUAAAAACUUUAAACACAAGUUUUAAGUUUGAAAGAUGCAAUUGCAUCACUCAAAGAUGAUCCCGCGUUGUAUUAGCUAGUUGGUGAGGUAAAGGCUCACCAAGGCGAUGAUACAUAGCCGACCUGAGAGGGUGGUCGGCCACAUUUGGACUGAGACACGGCCCAAACUCCUACGGGAGGCAGCAGUAGGGAAUCUUCGGCAAUGGACGAAAGUCUGACCGAGCAACGCCGCGUGAGUGAAGAAGGUUUUCGGAUCGUAAAACUCUGUUGGUAGAGAAGAACGUUGGUGAGAGUGGAAAGCUCAUCAAGUGACGGUAACUACCCAGAAAGGGACGGCUAACUACGUG